GAUGAACGCUGGCGGCGUGCCUAAUACAUGCAAGUCGAGCGAACGGACGAGAAGCUUGCUUCUCUGAUGUUAGCGGCGGACGGGUGAGUAACACGUGGAUAACCUACCUAUAAGACUGGGAUAACUUCGGGAAACCGGAGCUAAUACCGGAUAAUAUUUUGAACCGCAUGGUUCAAAAGUGAAAGACGGUCUUGCUGUCACUUCUAGAUGGAUCCGCGCUGCAUUAGCUAGUUGGUAAGGUAACGGCUUACCAAGGCAACGAUGCAUAGCCGACCUGAGAGGGUGAUCGGCCACACUGGAACUGAGACACGGUCCAGACUCCUACGGGAGGCAGCGGUAGGGAAUCUUCCGCAAUGGGCGAAAGCCUGACGGAGCAACGCCGCGUGAGUGAUGAAGGUCUUCGGAUCGUAAAACUCUGUUAUUAGGGAAGAACAUAUGUGUAAGUAACUGUGCACAUCUUGACGGUACCUAAUCAGAAAGCCACGGCUAACUACGUG
rnacentral:rRNA from 1 species